rnacentral:rRNA from 1 species
UACGGAGGGGGCUAGCGUUGUUCGGAAUUACUGGGCGUAAAGCGCGCGUAGGCGGAUCUGCAAGUCGGGGGUGAAAUCCCGAGGCUCAACCUCGGAACUGCCUUCGAUACUGCGGGUCUCGAGUCCGGGAGAGGUGAGUGGAAUUCCUAGUGUAGAGGUGAAAUUCGUAGAUAUUAGGAAGAACACCAGUGGCGAAGGCGGCUCACUGGCCCGGUACUGACGCUGAGGCGCGAAAGCGUGGGGAGCGAACGGG